rnacentral:rRNA from 1 species
UACGAAGGGUGCAAGCGUUACUCGGAAUUACUGGGCGUAAAGCGUGCGUAGGCGGUCUGUUAAGACCGAUGUGAAAUCCCCGGGCUUAACCUGGGAACUGCAUUGGUGACUGGCAGGCUUUGAGUGUGGCAGAGGGGGUAGAAGUUCCACGUGUAGCAGUGAAAUGCGUAGAGAUGUGGAGGAAUACCGAUGGCGAAGGCAGCCC